rfam:Apaloderma vittatum contig38231, whole genome shotgun sequence.
AUGCCAGUUCAAUGUGUCUGCUCAACUUUAAAAUGUUUUGCAGAUAAUAUUUUAAAGUGACACUGGUAAAGUAAAGCCACAGUACGAGCCUUGAAGACUUUGUUGUCUUUGAGGUCCCAGGAGUUGGCUACAUCU